AUAUUAUUAUUAUUAUUAUCAUUCAGUAUUAUAAAAUAUUGAUAAAAAUAUUGUCUAGAUUUUUCAGACAUCUUAGAAGUCUUCUUUUUCUUCAGGGAAAAAGAGAACCCUAAAUAUCAAUUAUAAUCAGAAUUUCACAGCAAGUAAAAAUACCUGUGUGUUAAUGAAAUUAAUCCUUAAUGAACCAGAUGACAAUGACUAUUUGAUAUCUGACCUUAAUUUUUUAAACCAGGCAUCAAAACACUUAGAAGUGGGUAGGCAGGGUGAGUACAGAAGAGGAGUGGUGGAAUUCCCUUUACUGUAGGUUAGUUGGAAAGAGAGAAUCAAGAUUCAUAUGACUCUCAGGCAAAAAGAGUGGGAAGAGAUAGACUGAAAUCUCCAUAUUCACAGGUAAGAACAGACAUUUCUUGGCCCAAAUGAUAAAGCAAUGUUCAGCUCUUCUAGUCAAGUCGCCCAUACUGUGGAAUUCCAAGGAAACAGUCUUCACUCCUGUUAAGUGAUAUUCCUGGCCAUUGUCAAUGCGCAAGUCCCACAACAAGGCAGAGACAUUCAUGCUCUUCAUUAACAUUCCCCUAAGGUCUCAGUUUGCAUCUCUCUAUCCAUCUCCUAGCUCUGAAAGGAAGUUUCCUGGGAAACCUUUUCUAUGAAUGGAAUGGAUGAGGUUUGUCCCAUGAGGGAAGAAUUAAAAAAAAAAAAAACAAAAAACACACAGACACACACAACAACAACACAGUACAACAAAAAAACUUCUUUCCCACUGCAGCCAGGAGCAGAUUACGCCUAUCUUUUUUCAAGGACAGGUGGAAAUUCUGACCAUGUGGUAUUCAGUCAUACUAGGAAUGUUGCUCUCUCAAUUUAACAGGAGAGCUUCCUUUCUUACUGAUUAAAAAAGUCAAAAGGGGUUUAAAAUUGCUUAGGUAAAAAGAACUAUGGUUGAGUUUUCUCAGCCACAGAUAAACAUUGGCUCUUUCUGAUCUGCUCUGUUGUCAGCUAUGUAAUGACUCAGUUUGUGCAUUGUUCUCCUUGUUCAGAACAGAAGGGAGAGUAAACCUUAUCCACAGGCUCCUGUUACAAGUAGACCUUCCCCUUCCAUCAGAGGUGGGCUUUGUGCGACACAGUCAGGACAUUCACAAAUUAAAAGAUGAAGAACAGCCCACAUUUUCACCAGCUAUUGAUAUUCCCUAUCCCAGUAAACCAUGGGUUUUCGUCUGAGUAUUUUUUUCCAACUUAAAGAGAGAGAGAGAAAGAGAGAAUAUGUAGGCUAACCAGCUCUAUUGCUAACAAAAGAAAUAGUUAAGAGAGGAAAACAACCAGGGAUGAAAAUCAGGCUUUUAUUUGAAUCUUCUUGCUUCUUUUCAGCACCAGCUUCCUGGCUAACUUGAGCAUCCUAUUCCUGAGCUGGUUGAAAUAUGCCUUUUUUAAAAAAACAACUUUAAUGAGAUAUAAUUUACAUACCAUAAAAUUCAUCUGUUUAAAGUAUGGGACUCAAUGGACCCAGUGGUUUUUAGUAUAUUUAUAGAUUUGUUCAACCAUUACCAUAAUCAAUUUUAUAACAUUUUCAUCAAUCCAAAAGGAAGCCCAGUACCCAUUUGCUGACACUCCCCAUUCUCCCCACUCCACCACCAGCCCUAAGCAGCCACGAAUCUACCUUCUGUCUCUAGAGAUUUGUCUAUUGGAUCUUUCAUACAGAAGCAUGCAAUAAUGUGAUUUGUUUGUUUGUUUUGUUUUUCUCAUGUUUUUUAUUUCUUUAUUUUUUUUAUUAUACUUUAAGUUUUAAGGUACAUGUGCACACGUGCAGGUUAGUUACAUAUGUAUACAUGUGCCAUGUUGGUGUGCUGCACCCAUUAACUCGUCAUUUAACAUUAGGUAUAUCUCCUAAUGCUAUCCCUCCCCCCUCCCCCCACCGCACAACAGGCCCCGGUGUGUGAUGUUCCCCUUCCUGUGUCCAUGUGUUCUCAUUGUUCAGUUCCCACCUAUGAGUGAGAACAUGCGGUGUUUGGUUUUUUGUCCUUUAGAUAGUUUGCUAAGAAUGAUGGUUUCCAGCUUAAAUGUGAUCUUUUAUGACUGGUUUCUUUCACACAGAAUAAUGUUUUCAAGGUUCAUCCAGGCUGUAGCAGCACUUCAUUUCUUUGUAUUGCCAAAUACUAUUCCAUUGUGUGACUAUAACACAUUUUAUGUACCCUUUCAUCUUUUGAUUGACAUUUGGGUUGUUCCCACUUUUUGACACUUAUGAAUAAUGAUGUUGUGAAUAUUCGUGUAUAAACUUUUGUGUGGACAUAUAUUUUCAUUUCUCUUUGGUAUUGACCUAAUAGUGGGAUUGCAAGGUUGUGUGUUUAACACUAUGUUAAAUAUUUUUAGGAAGCCCCAAGCUGUUUUCCAAAGUGGUUGUACCAUUUUACAUUCUCACCAGCAAUGUACCAGGGUAAGACUUAUUUGCAAUUUUCUCCUGCUUAUAGAAUUCUAAAGCUAUGUAAAAGGUUAGAAAUGUAACAGGUGGGUCAUUUUGAUACUUAUUUAGAAAGCCUACUUUUUCUUUCCAAACUACAAACAUUUCUGUUGUCUAAUGAGCAGAUGCUACCAGCUAAUGAAGCAGGAAUACUAAUUUCUUAUUUGAUUCAUAAUAAUAUUCAGUAAUUACAGAGGAAUCUUUACUUAUCUAGCUUUCUGUGUAUAUGUGUUCUACAGUACUAAUUUUUCUUUCUUUUCUUUUAAAAAUUCACCUUCCUUACUGCUUUGUUAUUUAAUGAUUUGUUCUGAUUAUAGACCAUUAAUGCCUGUUUAAAAAAAAAGUCCACAUGUGCAUUUCAAUACCUCUUUUAUUUUAUACUGAUUCAAAGCAAUUCAAUUCUUCAUUCCUAAAAACAUUUAGGCUGAGGCAUAAAAUAGCCAAUUUAAACGAAGUAACAUUUAGUCUUUGAAAUUGCCGUAUAUGUAUUCUUCAUUUAUGCCUACCUGAAAAUGUCAGGUAUGAAAUGAAUUUUAGUGACUCAAUUGUUAUUCUAUAGGCAAAUCCUUAUCUUAUAAACAUACUAGAUAACUUUAUAAGAUAAAUCUGUUUCUAAGACAAAAUUUGUCCAUAAUUCUGAAUUUCUUUCUUUCUUUAUUUACUUAAUGAAAAGGAUGUUUCAUGAACCUUCUAAUUCUUUCCUACUGUGGAUGUUAGUUGGCAUUUUGUAUUGAAUUUCAACAUUUGAGAAUAAGUCAUGGGUCCAGCUAAUCUGCAUAGACCAAUUUGGAGCAGCAUCCUUAAUGAGUGGUGAACUUUCUCUGUUCUCCAGACAAUAUCAACUCUGCCACUUGAAACCAAGGCUUCUAAUGACAUGAACUGAAGGAAAAGUCUUGAUUUCAGAUUUUUGUUUGGCCUGUUUCAUCUCCAUUUGCCGACCCUGGAUUACGCAGAUAGUGCACUGCUUUUAGUAAUCUAGGCCCUUGUGCCAGACCUUGACUGUCAUACUGCAUUAUAACUGAUGGUUCAAAUGCUUCUUUUACAUAAGGAGUAUUUUCUUCCCAGAGAUACCUCUAAGAUAUUCAUGGCUAACUAAAAAUACUCCUGAAUGCUGUUCUCAAGUAGAGUUUCAAGGUCAACAUGAAAAUUGUUAUCACUCUCUUAUGUGACAUAAAAAAAUCUGUUUUAUCUUUGUAACAAUGCUUUCAUUAAAAAAAAAAAAAAGCUUUGCAAUUCCUCUGCUACACUAGUGUUUUCUCAGAUACCAAACAGGCUAUGCCUUGAUGGCAAG
rnacentral:lncRNA from 1 species